GAAUAUUGGACAAUGGGCGAAAGCCUGAUCCAGCCAUGCCGCGUGAGUGAUGACGGCCCUAGGGUUGUAAAGCUCUUUCGGCGGGGACGAUAAUGACGGUACCCGCCGAAGAAGCCCCGGCUAACUUCGUGCCAGCAGCCGCGGUAAUACGAAGGGGGCUAGCGUUGUUCGGAAUUACUGGGCGUAAAGCGCACGUAGGCGGGUUGUUAAGUCAGGGGUGAAAUCCCGAGGCUCAACCUCGGAACUGCCCUUGAUACUGGCAACCUUCGAGUCCGGGAGAGGUGAGUGGAACUCCGAGUGUAGAGGUGAAAUUCGUAGAUAUUCGGAAGAACACCAGUGGCGAAGGCGGCUCACUGGCCCGGUACUGACGCUGAGGUGCGAAAGCUAGGGUAGCGAACGGG
rnacentral:rRNA from 1 species